GGCAGAUACGAGUGAAACAGAUGAAGCUGCAGCUGGAAGCAGUGACACUUACGCACAGGUCAUGAAGAAAAAGAAGGCAAAGAAGAACAAUGGUGCUGAUGCUGAACUCGGCAUGAAUGAUGUGACUUACGCUGAGAUUCAACUAAAACCCAUGAAAAAAGAGAAGAAAGCACAAGAAAAGACCAGCGUGGGUGAUGAUACU